rnacentral:lncRNA from 10 species
UCUUGCCAAACCAAACAUCCAUAGGACUACAUACUCACAGAGGUAGCAACUUCUUCUGAAGGACACCUAUUAGCAGCCUAAACUUUCCUCUAAGAAACCCAGCCUACUCUUGUGUCAGACUGCUGAAGGCAGCUACUUAUAUAGCCUGAAUGUUUAUUUUCCCCCAAACUCUGUAUGUUGAAACCUGAUCAUGAAUGUGAUGAUGUUGGAGUUUGGGCCUUUGGGAGGUGAUUGAAUCAUGAGGGUGCUGAAUGGGGUUAGUGCUUCCUAUAAAUGAGGCCCCAAAGUCACCUGGCCUCUUCCAUCUUCUGAUGACACAGUCAGUUGGUGCCGUCUAUGAAUCAGGAGGCAGGCCCUCACCAGACACCUGCUAGUGCCUUGCUUUUGGAUUCCCCAGCCUCCACAACUGUGAGAAAUAAAAUUUCUGUUAUUUAUAAGCUACCCAUUCUAUUGUAUUUUGCUAUAGCAGCCUGAUAUCGUUUGGCUGUAUCCCCACCCAAAUCUCAUCUUGAAUUGUAGCUCCCAUAAUCCCCAUGUGUCUUGGGAGGGAUCCGGUGGGAGGUAAUUGAAUCAUGGGGGUGGGUUUUUCCCAUGCUGUUCUUGUGAUAGUGAAAGUCU